rnacentral:piRNA from 1 species
UGUUCGUGUCUGUUUGUCACCCUUUUUGCC